AGCUUGUCUAUGAUGUUCCUCUUUUUUUAAAAAAAAUGUCUGAACAUCUGAGUUCAUAAGUGAUUUCAUCUUGUAACUGAGAUAAGCU